UCACUUGUUGCUUUGAAGGGCUUAUU
rnacentral:piRNA from 1 species